AAAUAAUGCUAGCUCUCAGCAGGCAAAACACAUGUUUACUGUAGCCUACUGCUACCAGUCGACGUACUAUGCCCUGAAACCUAAUUCCAACCCACCAGAAUAGGCCCUAUUACUUCAUAACAAGAGGAACGCUUCCACCCCAGUACGCACAAACCAUAGGACUUCCGGAAGCGCCUCGCAUGGCUAAGUUUUAGAGACGGUUUUACUGCAAAGCAUGUAACUUACCCGUUUGCUCACCAAAGUGUUCAAAGAAUUUCUUUUACGGUGUGACAUGAUUUUAGUUUUUUCUUACCAAUCAAGAUUUCAAACCAAUCCAACAGUUGCAAGCUGAAGCUGUUUAUAUGUGAAUGUUGUACUUCUGUACUUUUUUUAUAACUGCCAGAGCAAAGAAAAAGCUUUGUUUUAAUGUAAACAAGACACUAA